UGAACGCUGGCGGCGUGCCUAAUACAUGCACGUCGAGCGAACAGACGCGGAGCUUGCUCCUCUGACGUUAGCGGCGGACGGGUGAGUAACACGUGGAUAACCUACCUAUAAGACUGGGAUAACUUCGGGAAACCGGAGCUAAUACCGGAUAAUAUAUUGAACCGCAUGGUUCAAUAGUGAAAGACGGUUUUGCUGUCACUUAUAGAUGGAUCCGCGCCGCAUUAGCUAGUUGGUAAGGUAACGGCUUACCAAGGCAACGAUGCGUAGCCGACCUGAGAGGGUGAUCGGCCACACUGGAACUGAGACACGGUCCAGACUCCUACGGGAGGCAGCAGUAGGGAAUCUUCCGCAAUGGGCGAAAGCUUGACGGAGCAACGCCGCGUGAGUGAUGAAGGUCUUCGGAUCGUAAAACUCUGUUAUUAGGGAAGAACAAAUGUGUAAGUAACUAUGCACGUCUUGACGGUACCUAAUCAGAAAGCCACGGCUAACUACGUG
rnacentral:rRNA from 1 species